UGGGGGAUAUUGCACAAUGGGCGAAAGCCUGAUGCAGCGACGCCGCGUGGGGGAUGAAGGCCUUCGGGUUGUAAACUUCUUUUGCUCUGAACAAGGCAUGCCUUUGGGGUGUGUUGAGUGUAGGGGUUGAUUAGCGCCGGCUAACUACGUGCCAGCAGCCGCGGUAAUACGUAGGGCGCGAGCGUUGUCCGGAAUUAUUGGGCGUAAAGAGCUUGUAGGCGGUUUGUCGCGUCGAUAGUGUAAACACGCAGCUUAACUGUGUGCCUGCUGUCGAUACGGGCUGACUAGAGGAGGGUAGGGGAGAAUGGAAUUCCCGGUGGAGCGGUGGAAUGCGCAGAUAUCGGGAGGAACACCAGUGGCGAAGGCGGUUCUCUGGACCUUUCCUGACGCUGAGAAGCGAAAGCGUGGGUAGCAAACAGG
rnacentral:rRNA from 1 species